UACGUAGGGGGCAAGCGUUGUCCGGAAUCAUUGGGCGUAAAGAGCGUGUAGGCGGCCCGAUAAGUCCGCUGUGAAAGUCCAGGGCUCAACCCUGGAAUGCCGGUGGAUACUGUCGGGCUCGAAUCCGGAAGAGGUGAAUGGAAUUCCUGGUGUAGCGGUGAAAUGCGCAGAUAUCAGGAGGAACACCAAUGGCGAAGGCAGCUCACUGGGACGGUAUUGACGCUGAGACGCGAAAGCGUGGGGAGCGAACAGG
rnacentral:rRNA from 1 species